rnacentral:lncRNA from 1 species
UACUGAUUACGAUUACUGAUUGAUUGAUUUGAAUUUCUAUUUCGGCUAAGGAUUGCAUAGAGGAGUGAAGAAACUGAUUGGUGUUUUCAAUCCUAUCUAGUGCUUGCAUAACCUUCUCUUCAAAUGAUGGACUAUAGGUAUUUAGAAAAGGUUGAUAUGGUGAAUAAGACACAUCGUAAUAGGGUGCUUCUAUAAAUGUAG